UACACCAAUAUAACAUAUUAAUAUAAUAUAAUUUCUAUUAUACAAUAUUAUUAUAUAUAACAAUAUAGUAUGAAAUAUUAUAGUAAAUCAUAUAUAUAUAUAUAUAUAUAUAUAUAUAUAUAUAUAUAUAUUCUAGGGAUGAGCAUCGGGGCGUUGCCAACUUAGCUCUCUUACGCUCUCCCAGCACGCCACAUGGUGUGUGUACAUCGACACCGAUGUAUUGUCCCUCAU
rnacentral:lncRNA from 1 species